AUAUUUUCAAUGUGCCAUGGCGGUCCCUCGCCUCCUCGACUCUUCUUGCGCGGCCCUAGCCAAUGGCGUCUUCCAGCGCUCGUUCUUCCGUCGAUCGAGAGGGAUAGCGGCUUGUUCGUUUCGAUCCAGGUAUUCCUUGGCAGCUGCUGCUGCUGCUGCCGCGGCGCCGAAAUCCAAGAAGGAGCGCAAUGUCCCGACGCUUCUGGAGAUCGAGGCGCUGGCGGUGGAGGAAUCGCAAUCGCCGCGGCUGGAGAGGGGCCAGGUCGUGAAUGCGCUGCUUGCGCUGCUGGAGCGCCAUGGGAUUCCUUCACGGUACGCUUUCGAAGUUCUCAGGCACGCCGACAAGAUUAUCAGCGGCUUGCAAGAGGAGCAAGAAGAUGCUACAUUGUCCGAUACGCACGAUCCGCGCAGCAAUCUUUCUUCCCAGGCACCGAGAGCUGCCGAGAGCGGCGUCUCUACAGUGCUGGCCCGUGCCGAAGAGAAGAAUUUCUCCAAGCUGGUUUCCUACUUCCACAAGCUCGGGAUCAAAGCCUCGGACGUGUCAAAGGUGAUGCCGUUCGUUCUAGAGUCGGGCGUAGAGCCAGUGGACACAAUGGUGGAGUUUCUCCAAGGCGUUGGUGUCAAGUACAACUCCUUGGCUAGAGUGAUCGCGGCGUGGCCCAAGAUUUUCCACCAUCACCCCAACGAUCUAGCUCCCGCUGUCGUGGUACUCAACCGGCUCGGUUUCACGUCCAUGAGCCUCUCGAGUUUGGUGGCGAGAGCUCCACAGCUGCUCUCGAGAAGCGCGGAUGAUCUCACUCAGUGUGUCACGUACAUGGCAAGCAUUGGCUUGUCUCGCAGAGACACGGAAAGGCUUGUCAACCGGUAUCCAUCGGUUCUCAUGGAUGGGGAAAAGCUGAAAAGCCUGGUAACUUAUCUGGAAAGCAUUGGAGUUCGGCAAACCAGCAUCGGACGGAUCAUCUCCAGAAAGCUUUCUCUUCUCGAGACGGACGCUCAGGGUCUGGCUCCCCUGGUCGAUUUUCUAAAGAGCACCAACGCCACCGCCGACGACAUCAAUAAGAUUCUCUAUUUGUAUCCAGGACUUCUGGGAUACAGUCAUGAGGCCCUUUGCCGAGUAGUGUCUUCUCUCGAGAAUCUGGGCGUGCCACCAUUGUUGAUGGGAAAACUGCUUAGAAGACACCCCCGACUGCUGACGAUCAAGCAUGACAUGCAGGAGAGAGUUGAGUUUCUCUUCAGCUUGGGCCUAGUGCGCAAGGACCUUGGCAAAGUUUUGUUUAAAGCUCCGCAGCUGAUGACUCUUCACAUCAAGGACAACAUGAUACCGACCGUGCGCUUCCUUGCGAGUCUCGGUGUUGAUGUCGUCAGGGUUAUGCGGUCCAAGCCAAUGGUUCUGGGCUUGAACGUGGAAACCAAGAUCCGUCCGAACCUCAAGUUCAUACAAAAUCUAGGCAUUGACUCGGAAAGCAUCGGCAAGGUGCUCAGCCGAUGUCCUCAUUUGCUGACUUUGAGCAUCAACAAGAAACUACAGCCAACUGUGUGCUUCUUCCUCGAACUUGGAUUUCAAAGAAAGGAAAUUGCCGACAUGGUGAAAAGAUUGCCAUCGCUCCUGGGCUUCAGCAUCGCGACGCUUCUGGUUCCCAAGUACGAGUUUUUCAUGAAAGCCAUGCAUCGGCCUCAGCGCGAGCUCGUUCAUUUCCCUCAGUUCUUCAGCUACAGCCUCAACAAGAGGCUCAUACGCCGGUUCGAGCGUCUGGGGAAACACUUUCACGAACAGGGUCUGAGUAGCGUGUAUAGCUGUAGUGACUUGGUUUUCGAGGAGAGGUUCGCAGAAUUUUUGAAAAAGUCCAAGUCGCCCGAGAGCAACACCAGGGAUUGUAAGCAGCAAGGAGCCAUGUGAAGCUUUGCGAGCGGGCACACGCCAUCAACGUCAAGGGCCCGUGGCAGGAAAUUAAGACAGCUUUGCGUUGUUGCUGUCGUCGCCGGCCCUUGCUGCUGUCAGGGAACAUGAAACGGAUCUUCGAGCCACUGCUGUUAAAGUCGGCAGCUACAGCGUUGCUGUUGCUGCUCGGAGCCAGAGUAGCCAGGAUGGAUCAUCUUAUUUUAGCGGGGAGUGAAUUAUAUAGAGUUUACAACAGCAACAGGUGUCCGAUCCAUUGACUGCCGACAUGUGUCACACAGCAACCUGUAGCAAAAAACCGGAUCGAGCCAUUUAACUUCGACGGAUUACUUUUUCGGA